CCCAGUUCCCAUUUUACCCCUUCAGGACCCUCUGUUAACAAUACAAACUUAACAAAAUAAUCAAUAUAAUUAACUUAGUUUGUUUACUUUGUCUUUGCAUGAUAUUCUGAUGUUAUUGAAACUUUGUUAUUGACGCUGACUCUAUUCAUACUGCAGAUCUUCCUUCAUCAAAGCACACGCAGACAAAUAUGACAUUCUGCGCUGCUAAUUAAUAGGCAACCAACCUCCGUGAUAACAGUCAAUGCAUAAAUUCUCAAAUUUAACGAAUAUAUUAUAGAUUCACGUUAUAAUUAUAUGUUUCUGUAAUAUAUAGACAUAUAUAGGCUUCAAAUCUUCUAAAUUUUACUUCUUUGCAUCAUAG